GGACCGGUAGCUCAGUGGUAGAGCGUGGGAUUGCAGUUCAGCAAUCAUCCUAAGGUCACGCGUUCGAUCCGCGUUCGGUCCU